rnacentral:rRNA from 1 species
GACGAACGCUGGCGGCGUGCUUAACACAUGCAAGUCGAACGGUGAAGCGCCUUCCUUUUUGGUGGGUGUGGAUGAGUGGCGAACGGGUGAGUAACACGUGAGUAACCUGCCCCCUUCUUCUGGAUAACCGCAUGAAAGUGUGGCUAAUACGGGAUAUUCUGGGUCUGUCGCAUGAUGGGUCUGGGAAAGAUAUUGUUUCGGUGGGGGAUGGGCUCGCGGCCUAUCAGCUUGUUGGUGGGGUGAUGGCCUACCAAGGCGGUGACGGGUAGCCGGCCUGAGAGGGUGGACGGUCGCACUGGGGCUGGGACACGGCCCAGACUCCUACGGGAGGCAGCAGUGGGGAGUAGGGCACAAUGGGCGCAAGCCUGAUGCAGCGACGCCGCGUGAGGGAUGGAGGCCUUCGGGUUGUGAACCUCUUUCGCCAGUGAAGCAUGCCUGCCUCGUUUGUGGGUGGGUUGACGGUAGCUGGAUAAGAAGCGCCGGCUAACUACGUG